ACGACCUUACUUGAACAGGAUCUGUUCUAUAGGAUCGUACCGCUGCAUCCUUUACCAAUAAGGAGGCAAGCACUUACGUCUGGUUGAUGACCAAGGACCUCUGGGCUAGAGCGUGAUUAAUGGCUAGGAUCUGUUCCAAUCGGAGCUAUAGGAUCGUACGGCUGUAGAGGAUCGUUCCUGCCAGGCCAGUCCUGAUCAGGAUGGCUCAGAGGUUGUCUGACAGACC